rnacentral:tRNA from 1 species
GGAGAGGUUCCCGAGUGGCUAAAGGGGGCAGACUGUAAAUCUGCUGGCAGUGCCUUCGGUGGUUCGAAUCCACCCCUCUCCA